GAAAUGCGAUAAGUAAUGUGAAUUGCAGAAUUCAGUGAAUCAUCGAAUCUUUGAACGCACCUUGCGCCCCUUGGUAUUCCGAGGGGCAUGCCUGUUUGAGUGUCAUUAAAUUCUCAACCUUACUAGCUUUUGCGAAGUAAUGGUCUGGAUGUGGGGGUCUUUUGCUGGUUUCGAAAGAAAUCUGCUCCCCUUAAAUGCAUUAGCCGGUGCCCCGCGUGGACCGUCUAUUGGUGUGAUAAUUAUCUACGCCGUUAGACGUCUGCUAUUAAAUGGGAUUGCGCUGCUUCUAAUCGUCCUCUUAGGACAAUUAUUGACCAUUUGACCUCAAAUCAGGUAGGACUACCCGCUGAACUUAA
rnacentral:misc_RNA from 1 species